rnacentral:rRNA from 1 species
CAUGCACCGAAGCUGCGGCAGCGACGCUGAUGCGUUGUUGGGUAGGGGAGCGUUCUGUAAGCCUGUGAAGGUGUGCUGUGAGGCAUGCUGGAGGUAUCAGAAGUGCGAAUGCUGACAUAAGUAACGAUAAAGCGGGUGAAAAGCCCGCUCGCCGGAAGACCAAGGGUUCCUGUCCAACGUUAAUCGGGGCAGGGUGAGUCGACCCCUAAGGCGAGGCCGAAAGGCGUAGUCGAUGGGAAACAGGUUAAUAUUCCUGUACUUGGUGUUACUGCGAAGGGGGGACGGAGAAGGCUAUGUUGGCCGGGCGACGGUUGUCCCGGUUUAAGCGUGUAGGCUGGUUUUCCAGGCAAAUCCGGAAAAUCAAGGCUGAGGCGUGAUGACGAGGCACUACGGUGCUGAAGCAACAAAUGCCCUGCUUCCAGGAAAAGCCUCUAAGCAUCAGGUAACAUCAAAUCGUACCCCAAACCGACACAGGUGGUCAGGUAGAGAAUACCAAGGCGCUUGAGAGAACUCGGGUGAAGGAACUAGGCAAAAUGGUGCCGUAACUUCGGGAGAAGGCACGCUGAUAUGUAGGUGAAGUCCCUCGCGGAUGGAGCUGAAAUCAGUCGAAGAUACCAGCUGGCUGCAACUGUUUAUUAAAAACACAGCACUGUGCAAACACGAAAGUGGACGUAUACGGUGUGACGCCUGCCCGGUGC